UACGUAGGGUCCGAGCGUUGUCCGGAAUUACUGGGCGUAAAGCGCGCGCAGGCGGCUCGCGAGGUGUCACGUGAAAGCCCCGGGCUCAACCCGGGAGGGUCGUGGCAAACCGGCGGGCUUGAGGCCGGUAGAGGUGGGUGGAACUCCUGGUGGAGUGGUGAAAUGCGUAGAGAUCAGGAAGAACACCCGUGGCGAAGGCGGCCCACUGGGCCGGUACUGACGCUGAGGCGCGAAGGCGUGGGGAGCGAACGGG
rnacentral:rRNA from 1 species